UCCGGUUUGUCACCGGCAGUCUCGCAUGAGUCCCCAACUAAAUGCUGGCAACAUGCGACGGGGGUUGCGCUCGUUGCGGGACUUAACCCAACAUCUCACGACACGAGCUGACGACAGCCAUGCACCACCUGUGAAGCUGCCCCGAAGGGAAGACCUGUUUCCAGGCCGAUCAGCCACAUGUCAAGGGUUGGUAAGGUUCUUCGCGUUGCGUCGAAUUAAACCACAUGCUCCGCUGCUUGUGCGGGUCCCCGUCAAUUCCUUUGAGUUUUAGCCUUGCGGCCGUACUCCCCAGGCGGGGCACUUAGUGCGUUAGCUACGGCACGGGAGGAGUCGACACCUCCCACACCUAGUGCCCAUCGUUUACAGCGUGGACUAC
rnacentral:misc_RNA from 1 species